rnacentral:rRNA from 1 species
UACGUAGGGUGCAAGCGUUGUCCGGAAUUAUUGGGCGUAAAGAGCUCGUAGGCGGUUUGUCGCGUCUGCUGUGAAAACCCGAGGCUCAACCUCGGGCCUGCAGUGGGUACGGGCAGACUAGAGUGCGGUAGGGGAGAUUGGAAUUCCUGGUGUAGCGGUGGAAUGCGCAGAUAUUAGGAAGAACACCCGUGGCUAAGGCGGCUCUCUAGUACGGUACUGACGCUGAGACGCGAAAGCGUGGGGAGCGAACGGG